AUUGAACGCUGGCGGCAGGCCUAACACAUGCAAGUCGAGCGGAUCAGCGGAGGCGUGAGGGAUACCUAUGUAUCGGCCUCGUAGUGGUGGAUAGCGAUCGCAAAUGGGCGCUAAUACUGCAUACUAUCACAAGAGCCUGGGUCGGAUUGGGUAGUUGGGGGGGUAAAGGCCUACCAACGCGACGGUCCGUAACUGGUUUGAGAGGAUGAGCAGUCACACCGGAACUGGGAAACCGUCCAGACUCCUACGGGAAGGAGCAGUGGGGAAUAUUGGACAAAUGGGGAAAGCCCGAUCCAGCCAUGCCGCGUGUGUGAAGAAGGUCUUCGGAUUGUAAAGCACUUUAAGUUGGGAGGCGUUACCAACAGAAUAAGCACCGGCUAACUUCGUGCCAGCAGCCGCGGUAAAUUC
rnacentral:rRNA from 1 species